UCGACGAAGGAAUUGUUGAUCAGUGGGGGAGAGUGGUAGAGGUCGCCGAUAAUAAAAAUAGACCUGGUUUGGGUUUCCAAUGAGGGUUUCCAGCUGCUAGAUCAGAGGAUAUGCAACUCAGCUUUCGUAGCGGAGGGUUCAUUCAUGGAAAUGAACAACACUUAUCUGUUGUGCUAGAGGAUGACGAAGAGGAAGGUUGCACCAAUUUUGUGACAAGACUGCUAUUGAUAUUCUCGUUAUUAUGCAUUGAUCUAAGUAAUUAC
rnacentral:lncRNA from 1 species